rnacentral:rRNA from 1 species
UUCCAGACUCCUACGGGAGGCAGCAGUAGGGAAUUUUGCGCAAUGGGCGAAAGCCUGACGCAGCAACGCCGCGUGAUCGAGACGCCCUUCGGGGUGUAAAGAUCUGUCAGUGGGGACGAAACUUGACGGUACCCACAGAGGAAGCACCGGCUAACUCCGUGCCAGCAGCCGCGGUAAUACGGAGGGUGCGAGCGUUAAUCGGAAUUACUGGGCGUAAAGCGCUCGUAGGCGGUAUGUCAAGUCAAGGGUGAAAUCCCCGCGCUCAACGUGGGAACUGCCUUUGAAACUGGCAAACUGGAGUGUGUGAGAGGAUAGUGGAAUUCCAGGUGUAGGAGUGAAAUCCGUAGAUAUCUGGAGGAACAUCAGUGGCGAAGGCGACUAUCUGGCACAUAACUGACGCUGAGGAGCGAAAGCGUGGGUAGCAAACAGGAUUAGAUACCCGCGUAC